GUGGGGGAUAUUGCACAAUGGGGGAAACCCUGAUGCAGCGACGCCGCGUGAGUGAAGAAGUAUUUCGGUAUGUAAAGCUCUAUCAGCAGGGAAGAAGGAAGACGGUACCUGACUAAGAAGCCCCGGCUAACUACGUGCCAGCAGCCGCGGUAAUACGUAGGGGGCAAGCGUUAUCCGGAUUUACUGGGUGUAAAGGGAGCGUAGACGGCAAUACAAGUCGGAAGUGAAAUACCCGGGCUCAACCCGGGAACUGCUUUGGAAACUGUAUGGCUGGAGUGCUGGAGAGGUAAGCGGAAUUCCUAGUGUAGCGGUGAAAUGCGUAGAUAUUAGGAGGAACACCAGUGGCGAAGGCGGCUUACUGGACAGUAACUGACGUUGAGGCUCGAAAGCGUGGGGAGCAAACAGG
rnacentral:rRNA from 1 species